ensembl:snRNA U6 U6 spliceosomal RNA
GUGCUUGUUUCAGCAUCACAUACUCUAAAAUUAGAACAAUACAUGUUCUCUCUGUAGUACAUGCGUGGCCCCCGUGCAAGGAUGACAUGCACAUUUGUGAGGCAUUCCAUGUGUUU